AGCAGCCGCGGUAAUACGGAGGAUCCAGCGUUAUCCGGAUUUAUUGGGUUUAAAGGGGUGCGUAGGCGGCUUUUUAAGUCAGGGGUGAAAGACGGUGGCUCAACCAUCGCAGUGCCCUUGAUACUGAAGAGCUUGAAUACAUUAGAGGUAGGCGGAAUGUGACAAGUAGCGGUGAAAUGCAUAGAUAUGUCACAGAACACCGAUUGCGAAGGCAGCUUACUAUGAUGAGAUUGACGCUGAGGCACGAAAGCGUGGGGAUCAAACAGGAUUAGAUACCCUGGUAGUCCACGCCCUAAACGAUGAAUACUCGCUGUUAGCGAUACACAGUUAGCGGCUAAGCGAAAGCGUUAAGUAUUCCACCUGGGGAGUACGGUCGCAAGAUCGAAACUCAAAGGAAUUGACGGGGGCCCGCACAAGCGGAGGAGCAUGUGGUUUAAUUCGAUGAUACGCGAGGAACCUUACCCGGGCUUGAAAGUUAGUGAAUCAUUUAGAGAUAGAUGAGUGAGCAAUCACACGAAACUAGGUGCUGCAUGGCUGUCGUCAGCUCGUGCCGUGAGGUGUUGGGUUAAGUCCCGCAACGAGCGCAACCCCUAUGUUUAGUUGCCAGCACGUUAAGGUGGGGACUCUAAACAGACUGCCUGUGCAAACAGAGAGGAAGGAGGGGACGACGUCAAGUCAUCAUGGCCCUUACGUCCGGGGCUACACACGUGCUACAAUGGAUGGUACAGAGGGCAGCAAGCUGGCAACAGCAAGCGAAUCUCCAAAAGCCAUUCACAGUUCGGAUAGAGGUCUGCAACUCGACCUCUUGAAGUUGGAUUCGCUAGUAAUCGCAUAUCAGCAAUGAUGCGGUGAAUACGUUCCCGGGCCUUGUACACACCGCCCGUCAAGCCAUGGAAGUUGGGGGUACCUAAAGUA
rnacentral:rRNA from 1 species